AUUCUCUAAGACAGUUAGUAAAUGUUGUUCAGCUGUCCCCCUUUGGGGAAUUGGGAAAGGUAGAGGGGGCAGUUCACCCCCGUUCAAAGAAGCUCUCAUUCUCCAGUCCUUGGGUGCUGAUAACCUUUUGGCUGCUGAGAAGGCACACACUCCCUCCUCAUUUUCGAGCGUCUGAUUCAACAGGAUGCCACACAAACCAGUUUCACCGCCUUGUCUAACUUCCUUAAAGGUACAGUGCAUUUAUCACUCUGAAGUUUGCCUGGAAAGGUAAACCUGCAGUCUUAUACACGCUUAUGGGAGAGCAAGUCCACCUAAAAUAUGCAGGGAUAUAACUUCUCAGUAAACACACAGUGAAGAAAAGGGCUGCGUAGGGUCUUUCUGCACAAAGAGGUAUGCCAUUUAUCAUUUGCACAAUUGGCCCAGUUGGCCCUGGCGAGUGAUUCAUGGUAUUGAAAAUAUUCCUGAACCGCCCUUCAUCAGAAGACUUCAGGGCUGGGUGCAAAACUGAAACAAUGCACACAACAUAAAAAAGCAGAAAAUGAAAAACAAAAUUCUAAACACAUAAAAUGGGAGAAUAUUUUUACUUGUUUACAUUUAUAUCCUGCAUUUCCUACAAGGAGUUCAAGGUAUGGCUCUCUUCUCCAUUUUUAUUCUCAAAACAACCCUGUGAGGUAGGCUAGGCUAAAAGACAGUGACUAGUCCAAAGUCACCCAGUGAGUUUCAUGGCUGAGUUGGUAUUUGAAGCUUGGCCUCACAAGUCCUAACCACUACACUACAUUGGGUCUCACAAAAGCUGAAGGAGCAGUUCUGCCUAAAAUUCUAUCUAAAAUUCCUGGUCAAAUAGCAAAGAUUGUAAUGUUGGUGUCAGACAAUUUUUUUUUUUAAAAAAAUCAUUUAUUUUCCACAUCACCAUCAACAUUCAUAUUGUACCCCACUGCUCUCCAUUGGCAUUUAUUUCAUCCAUUUCUCACAUGGAAAAAGGUAAAGGAAUAGUGUCUGGCACAUCAGUGAACUGGAGACAAAACCUGUGGCUGGUGACCAUUAACCAUAGACAGUCAAGCCAGCUCCUACCUGCAUAUCUUCCUGGGAAGGAAUACAGGAAGCUGCCUUAUACCAAGUCAGAUGCUUUUCCAAAGUCAGAAUUCAAGUCUAGGGUUUGCAUGUUCUCAGGUAAUUUCUCUGUGCCUUUACUGCUAAGCAGUAGCACUCAAGUUUGCUAAUCCUAACCAGGCAGGCCUGGCUCUACCAUUAGGCAAGGUGAGGCAACUGUUCCAGGCAGCAGGUGUGGAGGGGACAGCAGCAGCAGCUCCUGGCUCCUGUUCUUUGGUUAUGCUAGAAGAGAUAGCCAAGUAUAAAACCAGGUGAUAAGAUACAGCUCUUGAAGGCUUCCCAUCCCUGAGCUCAAUGCAAACAAAAUCCAGAAGUAUUCAUUGUGUUUGCAAAUACUACAGAGCUGAAAUUGCAGUGGUGAUUUUACAUUAUGGCAUGUUCAUCUUAAAAUCAGGGUAAUCUGAGGAUUUUAAUCACUUGGAUGCAAACUCUUGAAAUCUGAAAGUUAUGUUACAAAAAUAGGUAAAGGUAAAGGUACCUCUGACCAUUAGGUCCAGUCGUGGACAACUCUGGGGUUGCGGCGCUCAUCUUGCUUUACUGGCUGAGGGAGCCGGCGUUUGUCCGCAGACAGCUUCUGGGUCAUGUGGCCAGCAUGACUAAGCCGCUUCUGGUGAACCAGAGCAGUGCACGGAAACACUGUUUACCUUCCCAUCGGAGCGGUACCUAUUUAUCUACUUACACUUCAUGUGCUUUUGAACUGCUAGGUGGGCAGGAGCAGGGACAGAGCAACGGGAGCUCACCCCCGUCAUGGGGAUUCUAACUGCCAGCCUUCUGAUCGGCAAGCCCUAUGCUCUGUGGUUUAGACCACAGCGCCACCCGCACCCCUUGGUUACAAAAAUAUGUUGCGGCAAUAAUUUCAGAGCUGCCAAUGCCUACAGAGUAGUAUUUUAAAAUAAGGAAAGAAAGAAACCUGCACAUGAUCAAAUAAUGAUCUUCAAACUUUUCAGUGCUGGUGUGAAGAUGAGCUCUAAUCACCGCUAGAGGGAGAUAAAUUAGCAGACAAAGAAUGCCAGAGAUCUACUCAUCACUGAAGACAUCACUGCAUGCAUAGCUACGUAUCUAUGCUGUUACAUCAUGGAAUAAUUCUUCAGUAAUUUCUGUGUCAAAGUUGAGUUGCUGGAUUGCUUUCAAGAGGAUUAGCAAAUUCAUGAAGGGUCAAGCUAUCAAUGGGCAGUAGCCACAACAACUGUUUUCUACCUCCACUGUCAGAAGAGGCACACGCCCCUGAAUACCAGGUGCUGGGACUCACAAGUGGGGAGUGUUGCUGUUGCACUCAGCUCCUGCUUGUGAGCUUCCCAUCAGCAUCUGGUUGGAUUUAGGAUUCAGGAUUAGAUGGGUCAUUGACCUGAUCCAGCAGAGCUCUUCUUAUGUUCUUAAUUGUUUUCUGCAGGUUAUUGCCACUAAAAGCAUCAGAGCAGGACCAGUGAAAAGAAAAGUUGGUGACCACAUUGCUACAUUUUUUUUGCACUAUGCCUUAAAACACGUUCAAAGCACAUUCUUUCCCUCAAAGAAUAAUGGGCACAUUCCCCCUUAAUAUGUACAUUUUUGUUAACAUUGCUUGGAGAACUGCAUCGUACAAUAAGUGUGAAUUUCAAAGGAUGGCUGUGUUUUGGUUCUCAUGUUGUUUUGAGAAGUGUACAAUUUAAAUGCAAACUGAAUCAAUAUCCCUUGGAAACAGAAUGGUCCUUUUUGAAUUAUUAUAAUUUUUUGAAUGCAGGUCAAGGCAGAGAAUUGUGAACUGGCUGAAGGUGAAGUACCUUUCUCAGAGAAUUUUGUAUGCUCUAUUGGAUUCAAAGUGUCUUCUGAGACUCUCUUCAAACUUCUCUUGCAAGGGCUCCAACAUCAAACUGCAUGAGCAGCAUUGCUGUUCAUCAUACCACCUUGCAGUUCCACUCAGGGGAAAUGCAAUCCCACAGCUAACACCAGUGUGAAACAUAAAAACCAAGUUCUGCAAACAGCGAGAAGUUUCAGGGGGAAGCUGGUUUCCUUUGCCAGGAGGUCGCUGCAAUCUUGUCAGCAUUCUGCAAUAUUUGUGUUUAUUUACAAAUAUACAGGUGGAGCACAGCUGAAGAUGAAGCUUGCACAUUCCAAGAGACAGUCAACAAUCCAUAGGAGAAGCUGACCUUAUACUGACUCAGAUCAGUGGUCCAUGUAGUUCAGUACUGCCUACACUGACAGGCACGGACUCUCCAGGCUUUGAGGCACAGAGUAUUUUCCAGCCCUACCUGGUGAUACUAGGAUUGAACCUGGGACCACUGAGCUACAUCCUUUUCCUGGUGCUCCUUCGUAGCUUCUCUAGGGAACCGCUAGCAUCCCCACAGUUCUGAGCCUAAACCUCAGUUCUGUGUCCUUCUCCAAACUGUAGCCUAUUGUUCUUUGUUUUCACACCAAUUUGUUCUCUUCCUCCUGACUGGCAUGGAUGGGUAUCCGGAUGAGUAAUCUCUUCUGACAACCGUCUUGCCUUAUUAGAGUCCCAAGAAGACAAAGCUCCAGAAUCGGCUAUCAGCAUUCAUUUGUCAACUUUCAGGAAGCUGCCCACAUAUUUGCCUUGGGGCAGCCUACACCGAUAGUCCUGUUUGGAAAAAUCUGAUAGAAACGGCACACACAUACACUGUAUUUUUCUGGUUUUGACAUUUUGCAAACAGCCCUGGAAUUUUUCACAAAGAGCAGGAAAUCAGGGGAAGGGCACCUAUGACCUACCAGGUGUUGUUAGACCACAACUCCCACAAUCUCUGGCUGAGGCUGACAGGAAUUGGAGUCGAGCAGCAUCAGGCAGUGAUGGCUAGUGCCUAUUAGGGCUGGCAGGGUAGAAGGCAAGGAGACAAACAUUAGGUGGAGCCAGAGCCAGUGACAGGCAGAGCCAGCUACUUCUAGUUUUUCCCUUAUCCUCUUCUUUGCUGAGUUCUACAAGGACAACACUGCAUCUAAGGCAGAGCAAGCAAUGGGCACCUUCUAGACUGGUUUUAAGAAGACAUACAGGUGGGUGCUGGCUAAGGGCUGACAGGUCAGUGGGGAAGUGCCCCAUUUGCCCUGAUAGACUAGCGUCCAAUCAGUCAAAUUUGAUGUGGGGCUGGCAGAUCUGCAGCCUGUUUUAGGAAUCACUUUCAGUGCCCUCUUCUUGUACAUUGGUGCAUGAAACAAAUAUUGCCAAGAGACCAGAGGUUGCCUCAGAGCUCUCAUCCAAAGACAGUUAAACCCUAUUCACUGCUACCCUGGGCUGCUCACUGCCCAGAGAAGUGGGGGUAAAUAUAACAGAAGGCAGAUGUUGCCUCCGUGCUUCCAAGAUCAUUUCACAGUAAUUAUCUUUUGCCCCACCUUAUUUGGGGAAGAUGACCAGGGGCCAGCAGAUUAACAGGAAGCAGAGCAUCAAGAUAAUCGCCUGUGAUUUAUUUCAAGCAACUGUAUGGCUCAAAGUAAUCUGCAGCUGGUCCAUUGAUUGGAGCUGGUGGGUUUCCUCUCUGUAUGUAGACUGGAGUUGUUUCAAAAUAUUUCACAGUGUAGGGCCUAGGCAUAACUGGCUAAAUAUUUGAUGCUGAUGAACUGUCACUCCAAAACUCAUGCCACUUGCAAUGAAUAGGUUCCACAAUUGAAUCCCCUUACAAAAUUCUGCAAAUUUUUUUGAAGUUAUGGACAGGACAGGAACAUUCAUCACUUUUUGUCUAUGCCUGGCAGUCCCUAGGUUACAUUACUGCCUCACAUUAUAUGUAGGGCUGCCUUUAAAGAUGGCUCAGAAACUUCGGCUGGUGCAGAAUUUGGUAGUCAGGUUACUCACUGGGGCAAGGCAUUAUGAGCAUAUUGCACGGAUCUUGACCUGACUGCACUGACUUCCAAUUAGUUUCCAGACAGACUCUGGUAGUAUGAUUAUGACACCCAUAUUUCUUACUUUCACAACAAUUUCUUUUGGUACAGUUGCUUUUUAAUGGAUCUUCUCAGCAGGUACCUGUAUAAGUGUAGGUUGUUGUUGUUGUUGUUUUGCGCUCCACGGCACGAUGUCCUGUGCAGGGGAACUGCCCAUACCACCGUAAACCCAGCGCUGUUCAAAGUGCUGGUUUUGACCUACAGUAUAAAGCCUUAAACAGCUCAGGACCGCAAUACCUGAAGGAGCAUCUUGCCAUAGGCAUUUGAUUGGUCACUGUGAGAACAAGAUGCUAGACUAGAAGAGCCUUUGGCCUGAUUCUGCAAGGCUCUUUUUAUGCUUUUAUAUUCAGUAUGCUUAUAUAUUCAGUUAAAAAAAAGUUGGAAUGAAAAAAAUACAUUUCAGAGGACGAUGGAUGCAUCUUUAGGUCACCUCCCCAUCUUUACACUCACUGACCUUUCCCACAAUGCAUCUGCUUUAGGUGGCAACCUUGUGAAAGCACCCUUUGUUGGUAAGGCCUACAGGUACAAAAGCCUGUGUUGUAUGGUUAUAGCCACAUUUUGGAAAGACUUAAAAGAUGCAAACUUUGAAUACUUGGCAUAAGGCGUAUUGCCAUUAUGGAAUAGUAUUGUAGCUGCACCCGCUGAGACUAGCAAGAGGAACGAAGCACAAAUACAUCUUUCCUGGAGAAUGGCAGAGCUUUAUUUAGUUUGGAAAACCAAAGACCAGUUCCAAAGGUUUCUACUCACUUGUAGAUCACAUAAAGAGCAUGUUUUACAGUUGUAUACUGUUAUAAAUCCUGGUGUAUAUAUGGGAAUGCUGACUUCCAUAAUGUACUUUAGGGGGUUCUCCAGGGAAAACUCCAUUGGGUUUGUUGGGUUAUCUUUGUUUCUCAGACAUAUAUGCACAUGAUUUUGAAAAUAAUAAAAUUAGAAGAGGAAAGGCCAGCUUUGAAAUUUUUGCUGCAUCGGAGUGGAACUUGGUUCUCCUUGGAUGGUGCGAGCAGCACAAAGCCCUCACAAGUUUUCUUUCCGCAACCAAAGCCGACUCCUCUUCACACGUGGAUAGCGUGCGGUCGGCAGAGCAGCAGGCACUGAUCUCUUGUGACAGCUGCUCCUGAGGCUGGCUGCGGAAGGGAUCGUCAUCGGGCAGCAAUGGGAGGAGGGCAAUAUUUAAGCGCUCCCGUAACACACUUGCCCGACUGUACUGCUGGAACGCGGCACACAAGGAUCCAGAAGCUGGUGAGUGGUGGGAUGAAUGCUUAUGAAUAUCACCCUUGCGUCUGAGUAAAAAAUGAACAAGAUGUGAGCAGGGCAGGCUGAAGAAUGGGGAAGAUGGUUGGGAGCAAUGGGGGAAUGUAGGACGAUGUUCCACCGUGCACCGCUGUGACCCAGGGAGUUGCCCUGCAGCAGGCGACUGAUGUGGCUGAAAUGUGAAUUGUAUUUACUUAACUCUAAAACAGUCCGUGCAGUUAGCCCUUAGCAAUGGUGGGCACUCCACAAUUCAUUGAUUGCCAACUGGGCUACCUGUAGACAAGAUCUAUAGACAGUUCCACAGUUUCAGUGGGUGUUUGCUGCAACCUCCUCCUCUUCCUCUUCUUCCUCCUUCUGUUCUUGGUCACCAUGUUCUAACGAGCUCUUUCCCCUUCCUCCCACAGCCUGAAUCAACUUAAAAUAACUGUACAAAGCUACGAGGGAGGAAUCAGAGGGGGGAAAGGUGACAGCAACCUAUCCUUUCUCUCACUUGCUCUGGGCUAUGAUCUUCCGCCUGAAGUGUUUAACCCCAGGGUACUUCCGCCUCCUACAAGUAAGCUCAAUACUUCUUACCUUGCGGAGUGUUAGAAUAUUUUAAAGUCUGUGAUCUUGAGCAGAAUCAGCUCCAAAGUAGCGUAUUCAGUGGUGUGGUUAGGUAAUUUUAGACUCUGAAUGAAUUGUUACCCUGCCCUUUUGACACCUGCGAUGUAUAUUUGCAGGACCCAUCCUAUUUUUUGUGGUUGCAUUUUGUGAUUUUAAGUUACAAUUAUUUUAUUAAUGUUGUGUUUUAAAUUGAUGUAACCUGCCCUGGGUCCUUAGGGUGAAGGGUUGGCUAAUAAUAAUAAUAAUAAUAAUAUGGGGAAACUCUUUAGAUCUCAGGUGGAGAACCUGUGGCCUUGCAGCUGUUGCUGGAUUACAGUUCCCAUCAUUUCUGACCAUUGGCCAUGUUGGUUGGAGUUGAUGGGAUAUGGAGUCCAACAACAUUUAGGAGGGCAUAGAUGGCUAGCAGCCAUGGUUUGUCAGUUAAUGCUAACCCUGCCCCACACCUGUUCGCACUCUUGGGUCAUCUUUUCACCAAGUGCCAAGUGCCAGAUUCUAUCAAGCCAAGUUCUUGUCGAUAAGUGGUUUCACCACUUUCCAGUUCCUAGCAAUUUCAAGGUGUGCCGCAACUAAACCUUUGGAGAGCCUUGAGUUUUUCAGUCGAUGCAUUCACUGAGAACUUGCCAUGAUCCAUCCACUGAGUAGCCAAGGAACACUUAACACCGAAGCUCAGUGGGGGCUUACUUUCACGUAAAGAUGCAGUUAGAAGGGUUGCAAGCUCUCCGAGCUAGGUCUUAUCUCUGUCUUAACCAGAAAUUCAUCGAUUGCGAUGGAACUUGUUUCACAGCAACAGAUACGUAUCAACAGUGAGGAUCAUUUUAGUUUUGCAGCUGACAAAAAGUGACCAUAGGCUGCUGCCACUUUGAGCUGGGGAACACCUUGUUUAACCUUAUCACCUCUGGCUGUUCUGCUUUAUUGUACAAAAGCAGCUAUCUCCCAGCUUCUUUUCCUUGGGGAACAAAAGAGGUAAGAGCCAUAGCUCAGCCACAGAACAUUUGUUUUUCAAGCAGAAGGUCCCAGGCUUGAUCCCUGGUGUCACCUGGGAAAGAUUGUGGUUUGAAAUCCACUAUGGACAAGGCACAGCUAGGUGGACCAAUGGUCUGACUCUGUUUAGGGGAGGGGGCACUAGCUCAGCAGUUGAGUGCAUGAUUUGCCUGCUGAAGGUCCCAGGUUUGACCCCCAGGUAGGCCUGGGAAAGAUCCUGUCUGAAAUCCUGGAGAGAUGCUGCCAGUUAGUGUAGACAAUACUGAUCUAGAUGGACCAGUGAUUUGAAACAGUGUAAGGUGGCUUCCUACAUGAGCGUGUGGGGCGGGUGAAUGGGGAAGCAGCAUUAUUCUCCACCCCCAUUAAGAAAUUGGCCUUCCUUAGCCUAAAUCCCACUUGCACAUCUUCUGACAUCCAGCUUCCAUAGAUUUUUUUUUAAAAGCCUGAAUAUUAACUUUGCACUCUUAUUAAGUUAAUAUGAAUAUUAACUUAACACCUGCACACCUGCCUUCAAACCAGGUUGCCAGUUUAACACUCCAAGCUCACGUGAACAAGAGCUGGCUAGCAACAUGCAUCUCUUAGAUCACACUGCCUGCCGAACAGAGCUGUGUGUUUCUGGGCAGGGGAGGAGAGGGGAGGAUGCUGCGUAUGGCGGAGCCACGUGAGGAGAUGCUGGCUGGUUCAUGCAAAGCUCUGCUGUGCUGGAGACUGCACUUAGUUUAACCAUACUCUAGGGUACCCAAAUGGAAUUUUCAGCAUCAUCAAAAAGGAAUAGAUCCACUGGCUAAUCCUACACUUGGUACCUGUCCCUGGUACACAAGAGACAUUUGGGGAACUGCUGAGAAUACCUUUUUAAAGCGUUAUUAGUACAAAUACACACAAAAACUCUCUCACUACCACCAUCUCUCUGCCAAACAUGCCAGGCAGCUUUCAGAUUUCUGCCUCCCUCCGUCAGGUUUCUAGAAAUUAAGGUUGCAAUCCUGUACUCACUCCCCUAGGAAUAAGCCACACUGGGACUUGCUUUCGGAUAGACCUAUAAAGGAUCAUGCUGUAAAUUUCUGGUUCUUGGCUGUAGUGUGCAUGCGCAUGAACUCACAAUGUGUGUGCAGUCUCCUCCACCACUUACCUGGCUGGCAAGCGUGGCUGAUUUGCUUGACCUGCAGGCAAGGUCCAUUGCAAAAUUAAACACGCAACCCUAUUUCUCCCCCGAGUGUCAUAUAAGGAAACAGCUCUAAUCACUUAAUUAACACAGAAUUGCUCCAGCAGCCUGUGUAAUAUCAGCUACUUCAAAGUUAAUGAUGUACAACUAACCAAGAUGACAAUCCCUGAGGCAAACUCUUCAGCAAAGUUCCCUGUUUGCUAGGAUGUCGAGAGAGGGUGUGCCUUAAGUCUAAACUGGUGGUGCACAAUGCAGAAGGUAUGGUCUAGUUUGCCAAAACACAGUGUAAAAGUAAACAAAGAAAGGCUCGUUCUUGGAAAGGGAUUUAGCAAUUGUUAGCUACUGGAGCGGUUUCUUCCAUCAGAUGUCAAGGAAAUAAACAACUACUGUACCUGACUUUUAGAAAACAUCUGAAGGCAGCCCUGUUUAGGGAAGUUUUUUAUGUUUGAUAUUUUAUCGUGUUUUUAAUAUUCUGUUGGGAGCCACCCAGAGUGGCUGAGGAUGCCCAGCCAGAUGGGCGGAGUAUAAAUAAUAAAUUAUUAUUAUCAAUCAUUAAAAAAAGGUAGAGGGUUAAAACAAAACCAAAAAGCUGAAAAACCUCUCUCCCGCUGCCUAAAAAUGUAAUUUGUAAUACAGUAUCGUAUUUUGGUGUUGGGGUAUAAUUCAUAGUACGAAAUUGACCAAUUUGCACUAUACAAAUGCUGGGUUUGCUUUUGACAUUCUAAGGCAGCGAUGGGGAACCCAUGGCUCUCAAAAUGGUGGCUACAUUUCCCAUCAUCCCUGAUCACUGGUCAUGCUGAAGGAAGUUGGGAGUCCUGCAGCAUUAGAAGAGCCCUGCUAGAUGAGACCAAAGGUUCGCCUAGUUCGGUAUCCUGUUCUUAUGGUGGCCGACCAGAUGGGAACAGGAAGCCUGCAAGUAGACAUGAGGGCACCGCUUUUGAUGCCCAACAACUCUGGAGAGCCACUGCCAGUCAGGAUGGGUCAAGUGGCUCUGACUCCACCCUAGUUCUAAAGGUUUACACCUCAACUUUUCCAUCCCUACAGAUGCAACUGGCCAGUGGACUGGAGUCGGAACCUCAAGACCGGCUGAUGAAUCACCUGGCUUUACUGCUGGCCAUUAUGGGAUUAAGCCUCUCCUAUUACAGCGCCCGGCAAAUGAGUGAAGAGACCAAACCAAAUCCGGAACCUUGAUGCUUGGGCUGCCAAGCAGCAGCUGCAUGGGCCAAAGAGGAUUCCAGGAACGCACAGAAAAGAAACAAGGUUGGAGAGAGACCCUGGCACGCACUCUGCGGCACAAGCAGCGUCCUUUAGGUAUCCUGUGCAUGCACCGGCUGGGUGGCUCACAUUAGAAAACUCAGCGCCAACUUUCCUUGUUCUUUCACAGAUGGUGUGUUGCUAGUGCCCCUUCUGGCCAUGCUAGUUUCAUUCUCUCCUCCUGGAUCCUCCUGGUCAACUCAGCUAUUGCCCAACUUGCUUCAUUCUAGUUUCAGGGGGCCACUACCAGGGUCGCAGCCCCCUGCCCCAAUUUACCCCUGGAUCUGAUCCUCAUUCAAAGCCCAGAAAUGGAUUUAAACCAGGAUGGCCAUGCAGGAAGGAAGCUGAAGAGCUAACCUCAUUGGUUGGGUCCAAUAUUGCCUUAGCUUGUCACAGGAAGCUUUCUGCCUGGGCAUGUUAAGGUUGCCAUCCAGGGGAUGCAGCAGGGAAUUAUUAUUAUUAUUUGACACUGUAAGAGAGUUGGGUCUUUUCUUCACAGGGGGUUAACAGCCACACAUGGUGGCAGUUGAGCUGGUGUCACCUACUCACCCAUCAGCAGGGGUGAUCUUGCAGCCCAAAACCUUCCUGCUAAACACAACGGCCACCCCACUUGUUUUAUGAAGCACUUGAAAGACGACAUGCAUUAAGUGAUAUAGCCCAACGGAGAAAAGGGGAAAUUGCCAGUUUCUAGAGUAUCAACAACUCAGCUGCUCGGUUUGUGAAGUCAGAAACCACCCUGUCACAGCAGAGCAUGCAGGUCCUCCUCUUAGCAUCGUUCUAAGCUGCUAGAGUGACAUGCACACUCCUGCCAGUUGCUGCCUUAAAGCAGUUAUGGCGAACCUUUUGGACCUCUAGAUGCUGCUGAAGUACAACUCCACCAGCCCCAGCAAGCAUGACCAAUGGCUGUUGUUCAGCAACACCUGGAGGGCCAGAUGUUCCCUGCAUCUGCCUUACAGCAUUGAUCUUCAAUGCGGUGUUAGGACCCUCAUAUGGGUACCAGCCUGACUUAAAGGGGCUGGAGCAGUGGUUAAGACAAGGAUGGGGAACUUUCAGCUCAGAGGCCAAAUGUCUGGCCCUCCGAACUCUCCCCAGGCUACACCCCUCCCUGGCCCUGCUUUACACCCCGGAUUGUGUCCUAGAAAUCUGAUGAAGCCUCUCACUUGUCCGGAUGGAAGAUGUAGAGGGGUGUGUGCAGAUACUGUACAAAAGUUAAAAUUUGCAUUUGUUGCUCUUCCCACUUCUGCCUCCAGCCCCGUCCACCACCAGCAUGUGGCCCUUGGGAGCUUGCCCAGGAGAGAAUGUGGCCCAUGGGUCAAAAAAGAUUCCCCACACUUGUUUUGAGAGAAUAGGGAAGAGGGAGAAAGACGACAUAGAUCUACAGUAAGAAAUUAAAUAUGGAUCCUUUGUUACAGAUGGAGGUUUAAAGGUGGGUCUUUUAUAGACUAAGAUUGAAGUCUUACACAAUUCCCAAAGAAAAGGGGUUUAUUCCUGGAGGGCCAGGCCCACCCCCUCACAGUAUGUAGAGGGGCAGGGAGAAAAAGUCGGAUGAGCAUAAUGCACUGCAUUAAAAGGCAAGCGAAUGUAUUACAGACGGUUGAACGAGCGCAUUUGCUGUCUGCUCCCUCCCCCUUGACUUGGCCAAAACAGUGCAUCAUGGGAAAACCAAAAGGAACUGCAGACUGCCCGUUACGUAACAGAAUAUGUGGCCAGACAGCUGUGUCCUACAUCAUGCCUUUCCAUGAGCAAUUAAGGAGAGGGGGAUUUUUAAAGGCGCCCCAUGGUUUGGGGUUGGGGAGGAGUUUCAAAGGGUGCAAAGGCGAGGCAGGUGAAUCUUUCACCUCUGACAGGAAGAUAAUUGUUGCCUUCUGGAAGCUGCCGUUUACCAGAUCAGAGUGGUUUUUGCAUUUUGCCCAGUAUUGUCUACUUUGACAGGCAGAGGCCCUCCAGAAUCUCAGGCAGAGGCCUUUCUCAUCACCUGCAAUCCGCUGCUCCUUAAGCUAAAGAUACCAGGGCUUGAACCCUGCAUACAAAGCAGGUACUCUGCCACUCAGCUAUGGCCCCCCGCCGUUAAAUCUUCAACACCAAAAUCUGCCCUUGUUCCUCCCUGGAUUAGGCUCUUGCUAAGGCAGCUAGAUCUCAAACAUCACACUAGCCGAUUCAUCUGUCUCAUACCAACAAUGCUAGGAAUAAACGUGUUGCACUGUGUACAAUAAAUCUCUGUUUUAAA